rfam:Candidatus Beckwithbacteria bacterium RIFCSPHIGHO2_12_FTLL_47_17 rifcsphigho2_12_scaffold_17749, whole genome shotgun sequence.
GGAGGAGUGUGCCGAACGGUAAGGCACCGGUUUCGAAAACCGGCGCCCGCAAGGGCUUGCAGGUUCAAAUCCUGUCUCCUCCG